ensembl:processed_transcript
AAACUACCAUUCCCGCUAGAAAGAGAGAAAGAGGGAGUGUGUGUGUGUGUACGAAUGAGAAGAAAGAGGAAAAGAGAGUUUGGAUAUAGCUGGACUCUAUCUGGACUUUUUCUUCUGCUUCUCUUCGUGUGCUGAUGAAGUGAUGGUGUGAGAUGUUUUUGCGCUCUUGGAGUAAUUGAGAGACUCUCCACCUGAGAGAACAGGGCGGAGACGUAGCAUACCGGGCUCCGCCCCUGACAAAGUCCCACCUACAAUGGAGCCCACAGCCGCCGCUGCUGCAACACCCUUCAGAGUCACU